rnacentral:rRNA from 1 species
AGCAGCCGCGGUAAUUCCAGCUCCAAUAGCGUAUAUUAAAGUUGUUGCAGUUAAAAAGCUCGUAGUUGAAUUUCGGGAUUGGCGCAUCGGUCGUGCCUCACGGGGUAUGAACUGGUGCAGUCAAUUUCUCACCUUCUGGAGAACCGCGAUGUCCUUAAUUGGAUGCCGCGGGGAACCAGGACCUUUACUUUGAAAAAAUUAGAGUGUUUAAAGCAGGCAUUUUUGCUUGAAUACAUUAGCAUGGAAUAAUAAAAUAGGACGGCAUGGCUCUAUUUUGUUGGUUUCUAGGACCACCGUAAUGAUUAAUAGGGAUAGUUGGGGGCAUUAGUAUUCAAUUGUCAGAGGUGAAAUUCUUGGAUUUAUUGAAGACUAACUACUGCGAAAGCAUUUGCCAAGGAUGUUUUCAUUAAUCAAGAACGAAAGUUAGGGGAUCGAAGACGAUCAGAUACCGUCGUAGUCUUAACCAUAAACUAUGCCGACUAGGAAUCAGACGAUAGUUAAUUUUUAAUUGACUUAUUCG